UACGUAGGGGGCUAGCGUUGUCCGGAAUCAUUGGGCGUAAAGCGCGCGUAGGCGGCCAGAUAAGUCCGGUGUGAAAGUCACAGGCUCAACCUGUGAAUGCCGCUGGAAACUGUCUGGCUAGAGUCCGGUAGGGGAGUGCGGAAUUCCCGGUGUAGCGGUGAAAUGCGCAGAUAUCGGGAGGAACACCAGUGGCGAAGGCGGCACUCUGGGCCGGAACUGACGCUGAGGAGCGAAAGCGUGGGGAGCGAACAGG
rnacentral:rRNA from 1 species